CCGUACCUCCUGCACCACACGACAACCCCCACACCACGAUACAAACGCUCCCUGACCAUCCGAAUUCUUAAUGUCGCAAAACACCUAAUACCUUUGUACUGGAAAAAAGACACAACCCCAAUGCUUUCCCUGUGGUUUACUAGAAUGGAGGAGUUACGAGUAACAGAGGAAAUCUGGUAUUCAGCCCAAGACCGAACGCAGACAUACUUAGACACAUG